GAAGAAUUCAUGACUGAGCCAACCUCACAGCCACAUUCACUUCUCCCUUGAGCCUCUCCCUGCCCUUCCCUGGUCCUCUGUCUGGCUGCAUCCUGACCAAUGCUUCUGCUUCACUGGGCACCCUUCCUGCUUUUCAUCUGCUCCCUCGUGUGGUUAGUGGAGGACCCAAGACAGAGAGGAAGUGAGGAUUCCGCCUGGUUUGGUGCCACCGCUCUGCAGCCCAGGCAGGAAGCGGGAGCAGGGAGAGCUGUGCCCUGCAGACCCUGCCAUGUCCUCUUCUGUUGGUGACUGGAGAG
rnacentral:lncRNA from 9 species